rnacentral:lncRNA from 1 species
UUUUAGCCAAAAGUCAAAUCCCAAAAUUUUGAGAACAAUACUCCUGCAGGGGUCACUCACGAGGGAACACGAUGAGUACCUGGCUGUAUUUGAAG